UACGAGGGGGGCGAGCGUUGUUCGGAAUUAUUGGGCGUAAAGGGUGCGUGGGCGGUUUGGUAAGUCUGAUGUGAAAUCUAUGGGCUCAACUCAUAGUCUGCAUCGGAAACUGCCGGGCUUGAGUGUGGGAGAGGUGAGUGGAAUUCCUGGUGUAGCGGUGAAAUGCGUAGAUAUCAGGAGGAACACCUGUGGCGAAAGCGGCUCACUGGACCAUAACUGACGCUGAUGCACGAAAGCUAGGGGAGCAAACAGG
rnacentral:rRNA from 1 species